AGGUAUUUAGCUCAAUUGGUAGAGCAUGUUCCUCAUAAGAAUACGGCCGAAGGUUCAAGUCCUUCAAUACCUA
rnacentral:tRNA from 1 species